UAAGCCAGCCCUGAAUGCUCCUUACAACUUCCUGUCAGGCCAAGAGUGCCUUCUGGGAUCUUGCUCCUGCUUGCACUCUAUUCCUUUGCUCAGGCUCUGCACCAGCACAGCCACACAUGUGCUUGCUCUUCUGGAAUGCUCUCCUUUCCUUCCCAGACUUGCCCAGGCAUGGUGGAUGCCCCUCUUCAUACACCAGAAGCCUGCUUAUUGUUGUCUCCCCCGGAAGAUCCCUGGUACUCCCCUUUCUACACUAGGACAAGGCCUCCCUUGCCAGAUCUCCAGCUUCUGAUGCUUUUCAUUCUAGAAUUUAUUUCAGUGUGAUAAAAAUGAGUCAUUAAUGUCCACCUCUCCCACUGGUUCAUAAGCCCUACAAUGAAAGAGUCAUGCCUGGCUUUGCUCAAGAUUAUAUCACCAGAGGCUUGUCUACUGCUUGGCACACAGAAGGCUCUCAACUCUGUGAGGCAGAGUUUAAAUUUUCACUUUAGUUGUGGAGGCUCAGAGAAGUUCAGUGACUUAGCUGAGGUCACACAGCUGGUAAGGGUUGACCUAUAAUUCACAUCCCACCUCCUCAGUUAUGAGCCUUGCUUUUUCUGCUUAUGUUCCCAGUAGCAGCUGCAUCUUGGGGAGAAUCCCACACUGAACCUGACCUAGUGCAGAUCCAGCACCUAGUUCCAGCANCGUGUUUGCUCUGAUAUUAGCAGGGUCCAAGAAGCAGCCUCCGCAGGCUCCGCAGCCCGGAGCCAGGGCCAGAGAUGGGGAUUUUAGAAAAUGAGUGGAUCAUGAGGGCUCUGGUCUCAUCAGUGGAUUAAUCCAUUUGGUGGAUUCAUAGCUGAAUGGACUUUGGGGAGGUGGUGGAAACUAUAGAAGGUAAGACCUAAUUGAGUUCCUGGGAUCUCCUUCCUCCCUCUCUCUUCUUGGCUGCUAUGAGGUAAGCAGCUUUGUUCUACCACACCCUCCCUGUAUUGAUGUUCUGCCUUACCACAGGCUCAGAACAGAUCCAAGUGACCAUGAACUGAAACUGUGAGCCAAAGUAAAAUUUUUCUCUUUUAAGUUGUUUUUCUUGGGUAUUUUAUCACAGCAAUGGAAGGCUGACUAACAUGCUAGCUAAGCUGGCCCUUAGGAUGCUGACCCAGACUCCUCACUUUGUCUUGACUAGGUUCUUUCCUCAAUUUUAUCUCCCAGAUUCAGGACAUCCACAGUGCCAGCAACACAUCAUUCCUCAUUGCUAUGGGACAGUUUUCACUUUAGGGCAAAUUAACUCAGAAUUGACUUGCUUUCCCAUCAUGACUUCCAUGGAGACUCUCAUCUUGUCUCCUAUGUCUUCCAUGGGACCAAGCAGCUGGGACCAUGUCCCUGACCCAGAUCAUUGUGUUUGGCUUCUGCCCAUCUACCUACUAUAGGUGCUGGUUCCAUGGUGGCAUAGGAACCCCUGCUGCCAAGAGGGCCCCUGUAGCCAGGGGAGUCUGGCAUGCUGUGCACAAGCAGAUGGUGCUGGAAUGUGGAGAGGCUCCCUCUGUGUCAGGGAGAGGAGGGCUGGACACAUGGACAGGGUAUUAUUUGGACUCACUUUGUCACUGGAAAUGUACCAGGUACAUCCUUAAAGCCCUGGCAGAGUGACUGUGCCCCAGCAGAUGGGCUCUGAAGUUCCCAGCAUGGGUCUAUAUCUCUGUCUGGGGAAGGAUACAGGAUGGGGAUGCGGGGGGGGGGGGUUCCCACAGCAUGGUGAAGGAGAGCCAAUGUAAGCAUCUGGUUGCAUUCUCUCUCUCUUUGCUGUCACCAUUCUUCUAGUGCCUUCCCUCUUGCACUGUAUUUCAAAUCCCUUUUUAAAAAAAGUUAUGUGACUAAUAUUACUGAGUGCCUGUUAGUCUCCAUUCCAGGUGCUUGACUGUGGGACUCUGGGGAUGUGGAACUUUCAGUUUAACAGGGGGAGAGGGGACUAAGUCAGGGAGCUGGAAGCAGUCUUCCUUUGGGGGGAGGUGACAGUGCAGCCACCUGAAGAUGUGCAGGGAGUAACUGGGAGGAGAGCAGGGAAGGGAGUCCAGGCUGGAAAUGAGUGUGCUAGGCCCCAGCAUGGGAGGGAGAAUGGCAAAUGUGAGGAAGUUGGGAAGCCACAGUCGCAAGAAUGGAGGGUGCAGGGGACAGGGUGAGAGAUGAGACGAUGUGGAUUUACAAGAUGGAGCACAGGGUCCUCGGGAGCUCUUCGUUCUGUGGGCACAAACGGGGGGAAGCGACGAUGGUGGUGGUUGUGAUGACAAUGGCGACCAUUGUGGCCAUCACACAGAUGCUAACACUUUAUGGUGCUCACUAGGUGCCAGGUGCUGCUCCCAGGGCUCCAAUAAUACCCCUUAGGAAAGAAGGGCAAAGGAUAGGGGGUGAGAUGCACUUAUUCAAACUUUCCGAGUUUGUUUGGAGUCAGCACAAAGGAAAUGCCAGCAGCUUUACACACACACACACACACACGUACAGCAUUUUAUAUGUCAGUUUGGAUUAUGAAAAGCUGGACAUGAAGCUAAAAUGAUUUAAGUGACUGGAAAGCCAAGAUGAUAUGAAUGCUUUGUCUUUUACCUUUUUUAAUGUGCUAGAAACCCCAAAAUGAUAUUCUUUAUGAGCAAAUUAAAUUUUACUUGUUUGUUUUUUAAAGAGUUAUUAAAUCAGACAGUGGAUUUGGAACAGAUGUCUGCUGAGAUCAGAUUCAUCACUUGCUUUAUUAGAGAGCAGAGGGAUCAUCGAAUGCUACACUGUGCUAGGGUAUUUUUCUUUUUCCUAAUAUUGUGACUGAUACAGACUACAUUAAAAAGUUAUGCUUCUAUCCCAGAGCCAGUUUUCAUUGAGUUUUUGGAAGGGCUUUAUAGGAUAGAAAUGAGUUCUUGUCUCUGCCAUGUGACCUUGAGAAAAGGUGACAAUUUCUCUCUGGAGUCCAUGUGUGAUUUAGGAACAAACAAGCAUUCUGCACACAGAUGUGCAUGUAACUCACACCCCACAAUGGCGACCAUUGAAGCUAUUCCAACAUACAGUUUCCUUGUCUGUAAAGUGAGGUGACAAUGUUUCAGGGCUCCUUUGGGGAUUAAAUAAGGCGAUCCAGAACUUAGAGCACCCAGGAAU
rnacentral:lncRNA from 1 species